AGUGAACGCUGGCGGCAGGCCUAACACAUGCAAGUCGAGCGGCAGCGCGGGGGCAACCCUGGCGGCGAGCGGCGGACGGGUGAGGAAUUCGUCGGAAUCUGCCUUUUUGUGGGGGAUAACGUAGGGAAACUUACGCUAAUACCGCAUACGUCCUACGGGAGAAAGUGGGGGACCGCAAGGCCUCACGCAGAAAGAUGAGCCGACGACCGAUUAGCUAGUUGGUGGGGUAAAGGCCCACCAAGGCGACGAUCGGUAGCUGGUCUGAGAGGAUGAUCAGCCACACUGGGACUGAGACACGGCCCAGACUCCUACGGGAGGCAGCAGUGGGGAAUAUUGGACAAUGGGCACAAGCCUGAUCCAGCCAUGCCGCGUGUGUGAAGAAGGCCUUCGGGUUGUAAAGCACUUUUGUCCGGAAGAAAUCCCUGGAGCUAAUACCUUCGGGGGAUGACGGUACCGGAAGAAUAAGCACCGGCUAACUUCGUG
rnacentral:rRNA from 1 species